GGAUGUGAGGGCUAUCUGGCUGCAACGUCUGUCAACCCAUUGAUCGCCAGGGUUGAUUCAGAUGAUCUGGCUGGCUAGGCGGGUGUCCCCUUCCUCACCACUCCAUGUGUGUCCCUCCUGAAGCUGCAUGCUUGGUCGAAGAGGACGACCUUCUCCGAUAGAGGAGGACCAUUCUUCGGUCAAGGGUAUACGAGUAGCUAUGCUUCCCUGCUAGAACCUCCAAACAAGCUCUCAAGAAUGGCUAGGAAUUUAACGAUGAGGUCAAGUUCUACUGUAAU
rnacentral:snRNA from 1 species